rnacentral:rRNA from 1 species
UUAAAUGAAUUGACGGGGAGCACCACAACGGGUGGAGCUUGCGGUUUAAUUGGAUUCAACGCCGGAAAUCUUACCGGGACCGACAGCGAUAUGAAGGCCAGGCUGAAGACUUUGCCGGAUUAGCUGAGAGGUGGUGCAUGGCCGUCGUCAGUUCGUACUGUGAAGCAUCCUGUUAAGUCAGGCAACGAGCGAGACCCACGCCCACAGUUGCCAGCGUACUCUCCGGAGUGACGGGUACACUGUGGGGACCGCCGCUGCUAAAGCGGAGGAAGGAAUGGGCAACGGUAGGUCAGUAUGCCCCGAAUAUCCCGGGCUACACGCGAGCUACAAUGGUUGGUACAAUGGGUAUCUACCCCGAAAGGGGAUGGAAAUCUCCUAAAGCCAAUCUUAGUCCGGAUUGAGGGCUGCAACUCGCCCUCAUGAAGCUGGAAUCCGUAGUAAUCGCGUUUCAACAGAACGCGGUGAAUACGUCCCUGCUCCUU